rnacentral:rRNA from 1 species
GACAGAGGGUGCAAACGUUGCUCGGAAUUACUGGGCGUAAAGCGUCUGUAGGUGGCUUUUUAAGUCCGCCGUCAAAUCCCAGGGCUCAACUCUGGACAGGCGGUGGAAACUACCAAGCUCGAGUACGGUAGGGGCAGAGGGAAUUUCCGGUGGAGCGGUGAAAUGCGUAGAGAUCGGAAAGAACACCAACGGCGAAAGCACUCUGCUGGGCCGACACUGACACUGAGAGACGAAAGCUAGGGGAGCGAAUGGG